rnacentral:rRNA from 1 species
CGGAGGGAGCUAGCGUUGUUCGGAAUUACUGGGCGUAAAGAGUACGUAGGCGGUGAUUCAAGUCAGAGGUGAAAGCCUGGAGCUCAACUCCAGAACUGCCUUUGAAACUAGAUCGCUAGAAUCAUGGAGAGGUGAGUGGAAUUCCGAGUGUAGAGGUGAAAUUCGUAGAUAUUCGGAAGAACACCAGUGGCGAAGGCGACUCACUGGACAUGCAUUGACGCUGAGGUACGAAAGCGUGGGAGCAAACAGGAUU